rnacentral:rRNA from 1 species
AUACGUAGGGGGCGAGCGUUGUCCGGAAUGAUUGGGCGUAAAGGGCGCGUAGGCGGCGCGGUAAGUCUGGAGUGAAAGUCCUGCUUUCAAGGUGGGAAUUGCUUUGGAUACUGCCGCGCUUGAGUGCAGGAGAGGUUAUCGGAAUUCCCGGUGUAGCGGUGAAAUGCGUAGAGAUCGGGAGGAACACAGUGGCGAAGGCGGGUAACUGGACUGCAACUGACGCUGAGGCGCGAAAGUGUGGGGAGCAAACAGGAUUAGAUACCCUGGUAGUCCACACUGUAAACGAUGAAUGCUAGGUGUAAGAGGUAUCGACCCCUUUUGUGCCGGAGUCAACACAAUAAGCAUUCCGCCUGGGGAGUACGGCCGCAAGGUUGAAACUCAAAGGAAUUGACGGGG